rnacentral:rRNA from 1 species
AGUUUGACCUGGCUCAGGAUGAACGCUGGCGACGUGCCUAACACAUGCAAGUCGAACGGUCGCAAGACAGUGGCGGACGGGUGAGGAACACGUAGCUGACCUGCCCCAGAGUGCGGGAUAACGUCACGAAAGCGACGCUAAUACCGCAUAACCUCGCGAGGAUUAGAAGCUGGCGAGCAAAGGUUAACUGCUCUGGGAGGGGGCUGCGGCCCAUCAGGUAGUUGGUGCGGUAACGGCGCACCAAGCCAACGACGGGUCGGGGGUCUGAGAGGACGACCCCCCACACUGGGACUGAGACACGGCCCAGACUCCUACGGGAGGCAGCAGUGAGGGAUAUUGCGCAGUGGGGGAAACCCUGACGCAGCGACGUCGCGUGGGCGAAGAAGGCCUUCGGGUUGUAAAGCCCUUUUCUGGGUGACGAGAGAGGACGGUAGCCCAGGAAUAAGUCUCGGCUAACUACGUGCCAGCAGCCGCGGUAAAACGUAGGAGGCGAGCGUUAUCCGGAGUUACUGGGCGUAAAGCGCGCGCAGGCGGUUGGAUAAGUGGAUUGUCAAAGCACCAGGCUAAACCUGGGGAAGGCAGUUCAGACUGUCUGGCUGGAGCCAUCUAGAGGGACGCGGAAUUCGGGGUGUAGCGGUGAAAUGUGUAGAGAUCCCGAGGAACACCGGUGGCGAAAGCGCUCUGCUAGGCCGCAACUGACACUGAGGGACGAAAGCUAGGGGAGCGAAUGGGAUUAGAUACCCCAGUAGUCCUAGCCGUAAACGAUGGAUACUAGGCGUUGAGAGUAUCGACCCUCUCAGUGCCGUAGCUAACGCGUUUAAGUAUCCCGCCUGGGGAGUACGCACGCAAGUGUGAAACUCNAAGGAAUUGACGGGGNCCGCACAAGCGGUGGAGUAUGUGGUUUAAUUCGAUGCAACGCGAAGAACCUUACCAGGGCUUGACAUGUCUGGAACUUC